rfam:Heterocephalus glaber contig21208, whole genome shotgun sequence.
GUCUAUGGCUAUACCACCCUUAAUGCACUCGAUCUCAUCUGAUCUCAUAAGUUAAGCAGAGUUGGGACUGAUUAAUACUUGGGUGACAGAAAUUAAGACUGUGUGGUAUUGGUA